UCGUGUAUCCCGAAUUGUUUCACAGAAUCAUUGAACUUCUUUUUCGCUGUCCUCUUCCCGUAGACAUCACACACUGGUGCUGACAGACUCUAACAGAGUUUAUUCCUUUGGCUGCGAUGAACAAGGACAGCUGGGACGUGGAAAGGAGACUCAGCCAUCUGUGCCACUUCCUGUUCAGCUGCCACACGACUCAACUUCUACUCGUAUCAUUCAGAACAUCUAUGCAGGAGGAGACUCCUCCUUUGCAAUAUGCACACCUGAAAAGGAGGUUCUCGCUCCAUCAAGCUGCAUCGAACAGAACAAGAAGCCUCAGAACUCUAUUGAUGUCAUGAGCGAUAAAUGGGAUAAAUCUCAACUCAACAUAAACCUCUCAUGCUUGAAUCAAAGCUUUCUUGAUCACAGCAAAGACAGGCAUUUUCAGACUUCAGCAAAAUACUCCGGCUUGGACCUGAAAAGUGCAAUUCGUGGCUUCCAAAAACUCACAGAGAUGGGACUUCAGUCUGAGUUCACAGCUGCUGUUCUGCAGCUGCUUCCCACUAUCGAGAAGACACCAUUGGAAGUGGAAGGUUUGAGAGUUUUCCUGAUCCUCGUCGAGCUGUUACACGUCCUCCUGAAAGACAACGGACCAGAAACACAAAGACAACAAGCCAUGGAGCUGGCAGAGACUCUUGCUGCCACGUUACAAAGUCUCUCCGCCCACAGCCGUCAGAUCUUAGAGGACUGGUGGUCCGCCCUCUCACCCUCCACCCUUACUAGACAUGUCAAAGUGUGGAAAAUGGCUCUCUCAGAGAUGCUUUGGUUUUGUCCUUUUCCUCUAAACUCAGCCAAUAAUAUACUCCUAAUCCUACAAACCAUGUACAAUCUAAAGAAAAUCCCUGAAGCAACUUUUUCUACUGAGCUGAGUGAACAGUUUCUCAGACAAGACUGGCAGCGUUGGCAAAUGUCUUUAGAGGAGCCGGACACAACAUGUGCGCCACUUAUUCUCGGCACGUUCAAUUUUGUUUUGGACCUAAAAUCAAAGCAGAUGCUUCUUGACUUCAGCAUUAAAUAUGAAAGGGUAACAAAGGAACUUGAAUGAAGAUGUGUUAUUAAUGUGAAAAACGGAGUUACACUCAGAACCAUCCAUUAG
rnacentral:lncRNA from 1 species